AUGUUGUCUGUAGCUCUUCUGCUGCUGCUGGCAGCUGGAUCCUGUGUGAAGUGUGAGACACUGACACAGCCAGCCUCUGUGACUGUGCAGCCAGGACACACUCUCACCAUCUCCUGUACUGUCUCAUAUUCUGUUAGAGCAGGACCCGGCUACUGGACACACUGGAUCAGACAACCUGCUGGGAAAGGCCUGGAGUGGAUUGGACGUCACUGUGAUGGAUGCAAUAUGGAAAUUAAAGUUUCAUUAAAGAACAAGUUCAGUAUAAAUGCUGUUUCUUCCAGUCAAACAGUGACACUGAGUGGACAGAACAUGCAGCCUGGAGACACUGCAGUGUACUACUGUGCCAGACCACCACAGUCACACAAAGUAUAUGUAGAGCUGUACAAAAACACAUCAGACUGUUCACAGGAGGAGCUUCACAAGUGUUAA